rnacentral:snRNA from 1 species
GUGCUCGCUUCAGCAGCACAUAUACUAAAAUUGGAACGAUACAGAGAAGAUUAGCAUGGCCCCUGCACAAGGAUGACACGUAAAUUCAUGAAGCGUUCCAUAUUUUU